ACCGUCCUUUGGUCAAGGGUAUACGGAGUAGCUGCGCUCCCCUGCUAGAACCUCCAAACAAGUCUUAAGGAUAGUGAGUUUUUAGGAGUCAUUUCAGC
rnacentral:sRNA from 1 species